rnacentral:rRNA from 1 species
UACGAAGGGGGCUAGCGUUGCUCGGAAUCACUGGGCGUAAAGCGCACGUAGGCGGCUUCUUAAGUCAGGGGUGAAAUCCUGGAGCUCAACUCCAGAACUGCCUUUGAUACUGGAGAGCUAGAGUCCGGAAGAGGUGAGUGGAACUGCGAGUGUAGAGGUGAAAUUCGUAGAUAUUCGCAAGAACACCAGUGGCGAAGGCGGCUCACUGGUCCGGUACUGACGCUGAGGUGCGAAAGCGUGGGGAGCAAACAGG